GGCGGGUUGGAGCAGCGGAAGCUCAUUAGUUUCAUAUGCUAAAGAUCAUUGGUUCGAAUCCAAUACCCGCUA
rnacentral:tRNA from 2 species